CUUUUCCAGUGAGUUGGCUCUUUGCACCAGGUGGCCAAAGUAUUGGAGCCUCAGCUUCAGCAACAAUCCUUCCAAUGAAUAUUCAGGGUUGAUUUCCUUUAGGAUUGACUGGUUUGGUCUCCAGUCAAUCAGCCCACAUAGUGAUACUUUUUUUCCUUAUAUGAGAAUUUCAAGAUUUACUGUCUUUAUUGGAUUUCUUUUUGGCUCAAUGACUAAUUUUCUUUGGUCCUAACAUGAUGUCUUUAGGUUUUGGGAAAUGUGAUGAGUAAUAGUGUACGUACAGACCAGGCCCCCAAAAGUUCAGUGAAGUCCCAAGGAGCUCCAUCAGGCCAUAUAAUUUAGGAACCUUGACUUGAACCAAUGGAAGGUGAUUACAGAAAGACAAGUAUCUUUGAGGGAUAUAAAAAUGUAGGGACAGAAGUUUUAGACUCAGAAUACUUGAAUUCUGACUCCACCUUUCUCCCACUACAUCUCCUUGGCCUGGUUCUUAACUUCAUUGAAACUUGUUUCCUAAGAAGGAGGCAUGAAUUCCUGUCCUGCCCUGCUCCCUGUAUGUGGGCUUGUUUAAUGUGUUAGAUGUUCGAACACUGUAAAGCAUUAUUGCGGCCCUGCAUACCUGGAGGGUGUAUACCUUCUCGGAUUACUGUCUAAAGUGACUGUUGCGGCUGCUGUUGCCGAGUGAGUGCUUUUCUUAUAUUUAACAGAGCUGACUCGGUCUUCUUUUUAUAGUUGGAUACCUUGUUUAGUCAGCUGCUAAGUUUUCUCCCCCUGUAUUUUACUUAUGUGAACUUUAAGAAAUACGUAUAGUAAGGAAGGGGGAAAGGUGAAUAAAGAGAGAGAAAUAAGGGCUACUUUGGCCAAACUAUUUUUAAACACUUCUGUAGAAGUCUGGUAUGAACACAGUCUGUGUGUGCUGACGCCUCACUCUCUGCUUUCUGAGGUUCUUGAAGCCUUGCUUGUGAUUUCCUCUUUGGGGGAGUAGAAGUAGGAAGAAAGUAGGGAGACUUCAUUCAUUAAAUAGUUGUAACCAGUAUUUGUAUUUUUGGUUAAAAAUUUUUAAACUUCACCCCCAUUAAAAUGUCUUGGGUAAAAACAAAACAGAGACUGAACAUAGCAUGUGUUGGUCAGGAUGUGGAGAAAGUGGGAACCCUGUGUAUAGCUGCUUGGGAAUGGAAAAUGGUGUCACUACUGUGGAAAACAGUGUGACAGUUUUUCAAAAAAUUGAACAUAGAAUUAUUAUAUGAUGCAGCGAUUCCAAUUCUAGGUAUAUACCCAAAGUAAGUGAACGUAGGGACUUGAACAGAUCUUUGUACAUCCACAUUCAUAGCAGCACCUUUCACAUUAGCCAAAAGGUAAAAGCAACCUAAAUAUCCAUUGACAGAUAAAUGGAUAAACAAAAUGUGGUGUAUACAUACCAUGGGAUAUUGCCUAGCCAAGGAAGGAAGCUCUGACACAUGAAUGAACUUAAAGGAUGUUAUACCAAGUAAAAUGAACUACUCACAAAAGGAUAAAUAUAUGAUUUUCCUUGUGUAGGGCCCAGAGCAGUCAGAUUCAUAGAGACAGAGAAUGGUGGUUGCCAGGGGCUGUGGGGAGGUAGGGAAUUGGGGGUUUAUUGUUUAAUGGAUAUAAAUCCAGGGGGAAAGUUCUGGAGAUGGUUGGUUAUACAGUAUUAAUGUAUUUAAUGUCACUGAACUGUAUGCUUAAAAAUGGUUAAAAUAGCAAGUUUUAUAUUAAGUAUAUUUUCCACUAAAUUUUUUAAAAGCAACUCUCCCAUAACUGUCACAGUCCCUUUAAAAUUUUGUGAAAUCCCUAACAAAAAUAACUUUUCCCCCCGGUUUUUGCAUAACACAACUCUUCUCAUUUUUAAGAGCUCUUAAUUAGAUGUCAUAAUACUUACCUGUUAGGAAGAUAAAUUUUUUUCCUUUGAAUAUUUAAGACGUAUUCUUCCAAUCACUAGGAAACAAAUCUAAAACUAAAUCUGGAGCCUCAUUUAAUUUUAAACCACUCUCAACUAGCUCCUUAGCUAUGUCUAUAUAAUUUAUACUUCUACAUGAUCUUAUCACAAAGCCACUUCUUCUUAGCUAUGUGUAUUCAUGUUUACACACUGAUAAAAGCAGCAUGAUAUAGUUGAAAAAAUAGGCAUUUUAAAUUCCCGUCUCAAAUGUUUACUUUGUUCAUAUUAUCACCUUAGCCAUUCAUUUACUCAUGUCUGUACACAUUCGUUCAGUAAUUCAAACAUCUACUGACUACUGUAUGCCAGUGCUACUGUGCUAAGUGCUGGUGGAGAAAGUUAUCCAUAAAUACAUAAAAAUGGUAUAAUAAGGGCUACCAUAGAGGUAUGUACCAAUUGUUUUAUAAUACUAAGGAUGACAAUUAAAUUCUCCAAGAAAGUCCUUGCCAAGCAUGUGAAGUUUGCAUUGAAUCAUAAGAAAUAAUAGAACAAGGAAUGGGAUAAAGCAUUUCAUGCAGAAGAAACAGUAUUUACAAGGGCAUAGAAGCUUAAAAAGGGGAUUGGUGGCUCAGAUAGUAAAGAGUCUGCCUGCAAUUUGGGGGACCUGGGUUUGAUCCCUGGAUUGGGAAGAUCCCCUGGAGAAGGAAAUGGCAACCCACUCCAGUAUUCUUGCCUGGAAAAUCUCAUACUCAGGGGAGCCUGGUGGGCUAUAGCCUGGCAGAGUUGCAAAGAGUCAGACAUGACUGAGCGACUAACACUCUGGAAGCAUGAAAAAGCAUUGCAUGCUUAGCACACUUCAGAUCUUUCAAUAUGAAUAGAACUUGUGGUGGUAAGAUGAGACUGGAAAGGUAAGCAGGAGACAGAUAAUGGGGAGCUUUGGAUUCAUCCAUUCAUGCAUUAAUAAACAUUAUUUUGGCACCUACUAUAUUCCAAGUACUGUGCUAGAAGUUGGGGCUUCAAACAUGCAUAAGACACAAGUGAUAACAGAGUCUGAUAGGAGGCAGUGAUAGAGAUAGUAUGAGUAUAAAGAACUCAAAUGAGGCCUCUCUAACCCAGCUGAAUAGAAUAGACUGAAGGAAAAUCUACAAAGGAUUCAUUGAGGACCCCUGAGCUUUGUCUUCAAAGGAGAGUAAGCAUUGGUUAAUCAGUGGGAGAGAGGAGGUGGUAAAAGCAAAGAAGCAAAAGCUUAAAGACAAGAAACCACAUAGUAUGUGUGUGUAUGGAGAAUUCUAAGUGGUCUUUUGUUGCUAAAUUUGAGUUCUCAACGUAGAAUGAGGCUGAAGGGUAUGAUGGACAUAAUCCUUUGUGCUGCUUUAAAGACCGUAGACUUCAUCCUGCGGAGGGCAGAUAUGAGAUGGGAUGGGGAGUCAAUAAACACAAGAAUGAGCAAUGGAGGAAGAUUUAUGCCUGUGUUUUACUGUUGAAGCAUUUACAGCCCUUAAGGCUGACCUGAGGCAGUGCCUCCACCUCACUGGUGGUCCUGGUGCUGAGCUCCUUACUCACCCUUUGUACUUGGCUAUUUGCAUGGCCAUUUCCUUUAUCAGUUCUGUUUUCAUCUUUUUGUUUAAAUCAAGUUAAUAAAGUGUACAGUUUGAAUUUUAACAAAUAU